UCCUGUGUCGAUUACAGAAAACCCCAAUUGAAUUAAAACUCUUUUUUUAAAAUUAUAGAUGUAUAUUGUACAAUCAUGUCCCCGAAAAAGAAAAGUUCAAAAAUGAUUGAAAACCCAAUAUUGCCAUGUUCAUGUCCAUCAUGUGUAUGUAAACUUCCAACCGCAACUGUACUAGAGCAUUGAGAUCAUGUAAUCAACUUCUUUUAUCUGUCCCACUUUCACGUACUAAGACAAAGGGUGAUUGAGCCUGUUCUGUGGUUAGUCCCAAAUUUUGUAACAGUCUCCCUUUUCAUGUGAGGUCCAUUUUUAGCUAUUUUUAGAUCUUCUCUUGAAACUUAUUUUUAUUCUUUAUUUAAUGUGAUGAAUUAUAAUGUUUUUACAGCACUUUUGAUCAACUGCUGUUGUCUUUAAAUGUGCUUUAUAAAUUAAUUUAACUACUUCUGGACAUAAAAUGUGCACACGUGGUCACUGAAGAUGCUUUUGAGACAUGAAAAUACCAGGACUGCCUGAACAGGGCUUUUGCAAUGUUAAGUGAUGAUAAUGGCAGCUUGGCACAAGUGUUCAGUGUGGAUAUGAUUGUCAGGGCUAUUUUGUGAUGGCUGUUUUCCAUGGUCUUCUAGCCCAAACAUGGUUGCUGUCAAGGAUGUGUAGAUUAAAGAUGAGAUGAAACUGGGCUUAAUGAGAGCUUUUGAACAGAUAUUCAUAUACAGUGGGAUAGGAAAGAUUCAGACCACUUCACUUUUUGCACACUUUAUUGAGUUAUAGAUUCGAUUUAAAUCUAUAUUUGGCUACAUUUUAAUGUACACACAUUAAUGCAUAAUGACAAAGCAAAAACAUUAUUUUAAUUUGUAAAAAAAAUUUUGGCGCUCUACCUGCUUCUUCCAGCUGCUGUACUUGCUAUUAGAUGUUAUGGUAACCGUAUAGCCUCAGAAGUUUAUGAUCACAAGCGUAUGAUGGCAUGGCAUUGGGGAGAUCUUUUAUAAAUCAUUCGGCCUAGGGAUAGGAAAUAAGUGAUCUUGGAGAUUGUUUUAUUAGAAUUAAAUGUGUUUUUAGUUUUAUUUGUGUGAGGGCAUGUUGAUUGGACGUUGUUUAGAAAGGAACGUGUGUGUGUGUGUGUGUGUGUGUGUGUGUGUGUGUGUGUGUGUGUGUGUGUAAGGUUCCAGUAUUCACAGUGCAUUUCAGACCAAAAUUAAGCCAUGAAAUUCAAAUUGUGUUUAUACAUAUCUCUUGGCAAGUGUUUGAGUGUUCCCAGGAGUACAAUGGCUAUCAUUGUGAAAUGGAAGAAGUUUGGAACCACCAGGACUCCACUGCUAAUGCUGGCCAACCAGCCAAACUCAGUAACCAGGCAGGAAUGGAUUUGCUGAGGGAGAACAUAGAUCGAUUAAUGGCGUCGCCACGCCGUCCGACAUCCCUCCAGAAUUUCACGUAUCAACAUACGAUCGUUAUGUGACAGGGAUGGGGAUACUGGUCAGAAUUGAAUGCAAACAAAUGCAGAGAGUUCCUUGAAAACCAAACCUGCUCCAGAGUGUACACAACCUCAGACUGGUGUGUAAAGAAAAAAAAAAAAAAAAGAUGAAGCAUACAGCCAAGACAAAGCUGGAUUGUCUUUGACAAGUCAAAAUGUCCUUGAAUGACCAGCUAUACCCAAAAGCCCUGUGAAGAGGGUCCAGCUAUGCCUACAAGACUGUGUAAUGGGGAAUGAACUACAAUCCCAUGAAGCAUUGUGAAUGACGCAGUCAAAUAAAUAAAAUCUAUGCAAAAAUAUAAAAUUACUGAUUUAGUUGUUGUUGGUUAUAAAUAUAGAAACAGUAGUUUGUUUAUUGCAAAACAUUAAGGUAUAUACAAAUAUUUAAAUAGUUUGAGAGUGUAGGGACACUGACUUGAUUAUGUCGCUUUCAGUGCCUCAUAGGAAUGAACGUUCGCUGCAGAGCACCGCAAUUUUUACACUAUUAUUACUGAAGUAGUGAAGGAUUUCAUCCAUUUAUUUAUUUAAUUAAAAUUAAAGGUUUGGUUUUUUUAAACACAUUUCUGCUUUAUUCAAAAUAAACCAUGUUUAUUUUAUAAAGUUUAAGUACACCACCUGUGAAAAGUUUGAGACACUUGCUUAUUCGAAGUAAUUUUUUCAUGUUUUAGAUCAAUAUUGUCAGCAAAGCUUUUGUAUUUGUCUGUGUACUUAAUCUUUAAUGUAGGAAUGAACUACAACCCCAUGAAGCACUGCGAAUUAGUGAAAUUAAAAACUAUGCAGAAAUAUAAUAAAAGAAUGCUUUGUAAUAUUAUUUUACAAUGACAGAAAUCAUUGCCUAUUCCAAAUGCAGUUUGACUUUUUUCAUCGUCAGAACAUUGAAUGAAUAUUGUUAGCUCUUAUGAUAAAUUUCUUGUGAUGUUCUUCA